CACAGCCGCGGGAAAACGGAGGGUGCAAGCGUUAAUCGGAAUUACUGGGCGUAAAGCGCACGCAGGCGGUCUGACAAGUCAGAUGUGAAAUCCCCGGGCUUAACCUGGGAACUGCAUUUGAAACUGUCAGGCUGGAGUCUUGUAGAGGGGGGUGGAAUUCCAGGUGUAGCGGUGAAAUGCGUAGAGAUCUGGAGGAAUACCGGUGGCGAAGGCGGCCCCCUGGACAAAGACUGACGCUCAGGUGCGAAAGCGUGGGGAGCAAACAGGAUUAGAUACCCCGGUAGUCCCUGUCUCUUAUACC
rnacentral:rRNA from 1 species